GUGGUGCUUGCAGUGGCAAAACUCGGCGCUCGGUUGCUAAGGUGUUUGUAGGCGGUUGUUAGAGCGGGUGCUAGGGUACCCAAGGUGGUUGCUAGGUUAUUUCGGGUGGUUGCUAGGGUCACCAGGAUGGUUGCUAGGGCCGUUGCUAGGGUACCAAGGAUGGUUGCUAAGGUACUUGGGGUGGUUGCUAAGGUGUUGCUAAGGUGUUCUGAGUGGUUGCUAGGUGGUUGCUAUGGUAACCUGGGUGGUUGCUAGGCAGUUGCUAAGGUACUUGGGGUGGUUGCUAAGGUGUUGCUAGGUGGUUGCUAGGGUGUUCUGGGUGGUUGCUAGGCAGUUGCUAAGGUGUUUGGGGUG
ensembl:lncRNA